rnacentral:rRNA from 1 species
CGUUAUCGGAAUUACUGGGCGUAAAGCGCACGUAGGCGGAUUGUUAAGUCGGGGGUGAAAUCCUGGAGCUCAACUCCAGAACUGCCUUCGAUACUGGCGAUCUCGAGUUCGGGAGAGGUGAGUGGAACUGCGAGUGUAGAGGUGAAAUUCGUAGAUAUUCGCAAGAACACCAGUGGCGAAGGCGGCUCACUGGCCCGAUACUGACGCUGAGGUGCGAAAGCGUGGGGAGCAAACAGG